rnacentral:rRNA from 1 species
GACGGACGCUGGCGGCGUGCUUAACACAUGCAAGUCGAGCGGUAAGGCCCUUUCGGGGGUACACGAGCGGCGAACGGGUGAGUAACACGUGGGUGACCUGCCCUCCAGCUCUGGGAUAAGACCUGGGAAACCGGGUCUAAUACUGGAUAUGACUCCAUGACGCAUGUUGUGGGGUGGAAAGCCUUGUGCGGCUGAGGAUGGGCCCGCGGCCUAUCAGCUUGUUGGUGGGGUGAGGCCUACCAAGGCGACGACGGGUAGCCGGCCUGAGAGGGCGACCGGCCACACUGGGACUGAGACACGGCCCAGACUCCUACGGGAGGCAGCAGUGGGGAAUCUUGCGCAAUGGGCGAAAGCCUGACGCAGCGACGCCGCGUGAGGGAUGACGGCCUCGGUUGUAA